rnacentral:lncRNA from 1 species
GCAGGGCCUGUGACGUUAGGCACCACCGUGGACACCACCCACCUGGAGAAUCCCAAAGCUGUCACACCUGCCUCUGCCCCAGACUGUACCCCAGUCAACUCUGCAACCACACUCAAGAACAGGCCUCUCUCGGUCGUGGUCACAGGCAAAGGCACUGUACUCCAGAAAGCCAAGGAAUGGGAGAAGAAAGGAGCAAGUUAGAAAACAAGCUUCAUCUAAAGACUCUCAUGUCAAUGUGGACCUUGGUGACAAUCCUGCUUUGUUAAAGCAAAAACUAUGCGAAAGGGUGAGUCUGUUUAGAAGAAAAAGCAAAGACUGAGGUACUGUGAAUGGAGAGCUUCAGCUAAGAGGAGGCUCUGUCCCUUUUCAGAGCCAAAGGAAAUAAUACAACAAAAAGGAGGCUUCUUUGGAGACCUAAGUCUAUUGGAUGUAAACAAGACGUUGUAUUUAGGGAUGUUCUGUGUUUCUUUCUUUUUUGAAGUUGUCAUCAAUUGCUUUACUAAGAUUUUUAAAUAGUGAAAACCUCCUGUUUAGACUUUGGUGGAAGAUGAAUCAAGGAAGCAGGGCCCUGUCUUAUGGGUCACGUGUCUUUGGUGAGUGAGAAGACCUAAACUCCUGGCCAUCAUCUCUUAUCCAAUACUUAGCAGUUGGGGAUUAAACCAUCCUUGCCUUCAGUUCUCUCCAAUAUUACCAGGCCCAACUCAGUCUUCAGUGAUUUUAAACAGCAUUGACAUCAUCUGUAAAACCAUCAUCUGUAAAACCAUCUAUGACAUGAGUUUUGAGAAACAAUAAUGGGGAAAAUAUUUGGGACCAAGCUGAAGCACUAAUCCCACUAAGUUAAAGACUUCUUUCCAGUCCAAGGCAGGCCUGAAUCAACUGUCUUUAAAUAAAAUUUUAAGUGAUGCUGUAUUAUAUAUAGGAAAAAAUGCUUAAAAUCCUGUCAUUUAGAACAGUGAAAAGUAUCUUUUGAGAUUAAAGUGACUCUUUACUGUAGGAAAAAUAUUACUCUGUGUUUACAGAUUCAUUGCUGUGGUCAGGCCAUUUUUAAGGGAAGAGUUAUUUAAUAUAAAUAGUCUCUGAUUUUAAGUUCUGUUUAAUGUUCAUUCUCCUUCCAAGAACAAAGUGGUGAUUUUUGGUUAGGGUGAUCGCCCUCUUAAAAUUGGCAGUGCUGUUCCUUGUGCUGCCCCUGUCUUUUCCUCUGAUGGCAUUUUUUUUUUUUUUUUUUUAACACAGGUUGAAACAUUUCAUCUAUUAUCUCUGCCUCAUUUCUGGAGGGUUGUGUAUCAGUUCUCUAACACUUGUUCCUGAGAACUAAAUGUCUUUUUUAUUCUUAUUUCCUCUCUCAUAAACAUUUGGUGACCUUUUACCAAGUGGUGAGUUAGUUAGGUUUUUUAAAAUAAAAUGUUCAUUGUAUUU